GAUCAAUGCCUGUGUUUGGGCUCCAGGCCCAGCCUCUAGCCACCUCUGGCCUGGAAUUGUGUCCCAAAUGGGCACCAAACAGUCCCUGUUUAUUCGUCCUGUUGUGGGCUCAGGGCCCCAGGAGUCACUUAGCCCUUCCUCUUUCAAUUCUUGGCGCAAAAGAUGAGAAGAUGACAAGAAGUGGGCGUUUCUUAAACUCUGCACCCAGGCCUGCUGCUUCCUGGACCAACUCUUCCAUGGCCCUGGGUGUCACCCAGUGUUUCUGGAGCCUCUGAGUGGUGCCCGCUGCCUGGCAGCAGCCCCUGGAGGUGGUCAAAGUGUCUACAAUUCCAUCACCAGAUCUUCCAUUUCCAGGAGUAACCCUGGGCAGGUGUAUACCAUGUGUCUUGUUUACAGUGGGGAUUAAUAGUUCAAGGAGCCCAAGACUUGAGGUACAGUCAUCCUAUGAAGGACCAGAGCUGGAAAGUGGGGGCCUGGCUCAGGGAGCAGCAGAACCAGAGCAGAAGCUGAGCUGGAGAUGCCCUGAUGGGGCCGAGGUGGAGGCUCAGGCCUGGGAUGGGCAGUUGGACCAGCAGGUCCAAAACAGCAGAAGCCAAGGCAAGCAGCAGUCUUGGAGAUGCCCUCUGACCUGCCAUGGACUGGAGCCUCUAAGAUGCUUCCUCCUGAGGCUGGAGCUGAUGACUGGCAUCCUUGGGAUGUAACCUGCGUGCAGCUGGCAGAUUCAACAAAUAUUCACGCUGGAAUGGGAUGCAGAAGUCACCUACUUUCAGAGAUGGGGACACUGAGACCCAGAGAGGGCACAGCCUUUUCUCGGGGGCCUCCAGUGACUCAGAGUCAAAUCUGUGCUUCUUGGCUCCUGGAUCUCUGAGCUGCACCCACUGGACCCCUACGCCCACCCCAGCACCCCUGUUCUCCAUGGCGGCCCCGCCCUGAGGAUUUCCUAUGCCUUUUCACAGAGCUUUCUCCUUCUCCUAGAUCGCUUUUCUGCAAAAUGAGGCUGGGGAGUUCUGAGCCAAGCCCAGGCCCACGUGCCUGGAACCAGAGACAGCAUAAGGAGCAGACACUGCCAGGUCACUUGCAGCAGACUCCAGGAGGAAACGAGGGAAACAGAACCUCUGCCGUAGCCUAGCCAGGGCUCUCAGAGCCUAGAAAGCUCUUAGGAGAAGUGGAGAGUUGUUCAGAUCCAGGCUAAUUUGUCAUCUCCAGCCCUUCUCUGGUGAUCAGCUUGCCUCUUCCUCUACCUGCCCCUGUAGCCUCCUGCAUCUUCUCCUCCCUUUUCUGUCACAUGCCUUCUGCUUCUUGCAGCCUCUGCCUCAUUGUGGUUUCUCUUGCUGUCCAGUUCUGGUGAGCUCAUGGCUUCUGUAGCCCAGUUUCUCUUUGCUUCCCUUUGUGAAUCUUUCCUGCUUCGACUCUCACUCCCAAAUUCUUAACUUACACUCAAUGCCCCCAGAGGGAGGACUUGAUUGGUUUGGAAGUCCUCCACCAGGACAGGCCAAGGAUUAAGUGAGUUCUUAUAUGAGGUCUCUGAUUCCCUAACUCCAGCUAGGUGUUCACUUAUUCAGUUCAAUUCUGACACCAACUCCAGGAGUUAGUGCAGACCCCAAGGUUUAGGGCUCAGCCCCACAGGGCUGUCCCCCUUUAGCCACCAGUCACACACAAGUCCAGGGACCAUCUGUACAUCUGACUGCCUGGCUCUGAAUUUCAGGGUUCCCAUAACCUCCCCUUCUAGUUAGAUAAUUCACUAGAACAUUUCACAAAACUCAGGAAAGUGCUUUACUUACUAUUACCGGUGGAUUAUAAACGAUACUACUCAAGAACAGACUCAUGGAAGAGAUGCAGGGAACAAAACAUGGGGGAUUUGCACAAAGCUUCCACGCCCUCCCAGCGAGUCCCUGUGUUCACCAGCCCUGAAGCUCCCAAACUCUGUUGUUUAGGGGUUUUUCUUGCAGUUUCAUUAUGGUGGAUUAAAUCGUUGGCCAUUGGCGAUUGAAUUCAAUCUCCAGCCCGUCUUGCCCCCAUGGAGGCUGUGGGGGCUGUGGGGGUAACCAGCCCUCAUCAUGAAGCUCUCUAGGGCUCCUCCAUAAGUCAUCUCAUUAGCAUAUAAAAGGCAAUAUGUUCAAGGGUUUUAGGUGCUCUGUGCCAGGAAUUAGAGACCAAGACCAAAUAUUUAUAUUUUAUACCACACCAGGCCACUUCUCAGCCCACUGGCCAACUUCAAGAUUGACUGCUGUUAGGUCACAAUACCCACUUGGCCAGGGUUAGAGAUCACUCAGUAUCAUGUGUGGUGUAAGCUGUUGAGAUUGGGCAUAGACACUGGCAGGUGACUGACGGGCUGGACAACUGACAGAUGCUCACCUUGGCCAGUGUAGGCACAGAUAGGGCAGGACCCCAUUCGUUUAAGUGUUCCAUCUUCAGAAAUCCCCUCUUCCCCACUUCUUCCUUCUCUUCAUUCCUUCUUUGCUAUUUUUAAAUGGCACAUUGGAAAUAAAACAAUUGUCAACAUAUUCAGCCCUCCCACAGCGGGCUGCCAAUCAGCACAGUCCAGCCUACGUCCGCUUCCGUUCCCUCCACCUUAGCCCUCACCUCCCUCUUUGCUCUUGCCCCCCUCCCCAGGCACUCAGGUCUCUGUUAGUUUCUCAACAGCUUUGCAUAUGCUGUUCCCUCUGUUUGGAAUGAAUGCUCUUCCCCAUCUCCCACCCCUGGCUGGCUUUUCCUGGCUACCCAGUCUGAAUGAUGCGCUCCUCUUACAUAUGUGCCCUGUGUGUUUCUUUACUGAUGCUUGUCAGCCUGCUGAUCGACUUAUUUGCACAAACAUUUAAUAAAUCACUGGACCGUCUGCUGUAAGCGGGCAGAGAUCGGAUCUGUUUUGUCUUGCUCAGUACUGUGCAAUAACACCUAGAACAGGCCUGGCUCGGUACAUAGCUAUUGAAUAAGUGAGUGAAUGGAUGAAUGUCAUUGAAUCAGAGAUGAUUAUGAUUCACAAAGGCUUAUAUGUAUGAGCGAAUUUGAAAAAAUAGAAACAACUUGAAUAUUCAAUAAUAGCCAAUUAAAAAUAUAUUAUAGUAACCUACAAUGGAAUUUGCAUGGCAAUUAAAAUCAUAAUUUAAAAGCAUAUCCAUGACCAACAGCAUUAGUCAUUAGGCAAAUGCAAAUCAAAACCAUGAUGAAUUGCCACUUUACACUCACUAGGAUGGCUGUAACUUUUAAAAAAGGGAAAAUAACUGUUUUUGGUGAGGAUGUGGAGAAAUUGGAAGUGGAUGUGGAGUCUGGCAGUUCCUCGAAAAACUAAACAUAGAUUUAUCAUAGGGGCCGGGCACGGUGGCUCAUGUCUGUAAUCCCAGCACUUUGGGAGUUAUGAGGCAGGUGGAUCACCUGAGGUCAGGAGUUCGAGACCAGCCUGACCAAGAUGGUGAAACCCCAUCUCUACUAAAAAUACAAAAAUUAGCCAGGUGUGGUGGCACGUGCCCAUAAUCCCAGCUACUCAGGAGGCUGAGGCAGGAGAAUUGCUUGAACCCGGGAGGCAGAGGUUGCAAUGAGCCAAGAUGGCGCCACUGCACUCCAGCCUGUGCAACAGAGCCAGACUCCAUCUCAAAAAGAGAAAAAAAUAAAAAAUAUUGACCACA